AAAACGUCCAAAAGGAAACAAAGAACAAGACAAGGUUACAUGGUUACAGGUUAUAACAGAGACAGCAGUUUGAAAAUUGAUUCUGAAGUCCUUCGGAUCUAUGAGAGAUGCAGAAAGAAUCUAAAUGUAAUAGAUUUGGGGAGCAGAGGGAAACGGAAUGGGAGCUGUGAACACCAUCACGAUAGUCUGGCAGUAAGGACAGAGAUUUAAGUAAAACAGGUUUUACUGUUUAGCUGUGUUCGGUUAAUACACUGUACAUAAUAUAAUACGCAUUAGUCCUUUGAGACUGACAUAAUAAAUGGUCGCUGUGGUUGGUGAUGAACGCUCUAGGUAUUGUAUCCAAGCACCUGCAGAUUCUUUACACAUCCCUGUUUCUUUUAAGGGAGAUGAAGUCCCCAGUUUAAAGCCCCUAUUGGAUUCGUUGGAUACAUGUAAGAAAUUGCUUGUUUCAGCCAGAAGACUAUGUUGUGAGCCAGGUUGGUUUAUUUUGUUAUAUGCAGGUGAGUGUUGGAGUGUUCAAAGCCCAAUUUGUUUUCAUCCAGUAUUAGUUUAGUUCUAAAUAUAGCAAGCCUCACCCAGGUGCUAUCAGAUGACCAAUUACUGCUUAGUUAACUAGGUGUAAAGUUUUACAUAUCCAUUCAUGUCAAUAGUUUAUUACAAGUUGUGUAAAACGGACUCUAGUUUAAUAAUUGGGGGGGUGGUAAGAUUAGGUUGCUCCUGAAACUGACUGUAGAGCAUGUAAAAUGAUUUUACUGGAUUCUGUUCAACUGUAAUCAAUGACAAAGAUGUAUGUUGUAGACAAAGUUGCAGAAUUAAAAAAAAAAG
rnacentral:lncRNA from 1 species